CGUAGGACAUGAAUCGUUGAACAAACGAACUUUGGUAGCGGUUACACCACCUGGGUGUCCUGAUCCAACAUCGAGGUCGUAAGCCUCCCCGGCGAUAUGGACUCUUGGGGAAGAUGGCGCUGUUAUCCCUGGGGUAACUUGGUCCGGUUAUCAGUAUUACUGGGUCUGAUAUGAUUGUUUGGCUUGUAGGCCUUGUGGUGGAGGUUAGUCUGGUCUCGUGGAGUUCUUUUUUUCUCCGUAGUCGCCCCAACUUAAAAACAUACACUAUGGUUUUUGAUAGGUGUGCCCAGAGUUGGGAUAUUUGUUUAGGUAGUGGUUGGUUUGAAGCUCCACAGGGUCUUCUCGUCUUGUGGGUUUAUCUCAGCUUUUGUACUGAAAGAUCAAUUUCAUUGAUUAGUCAUAGGGGACAGUAAAGCCCUCAGUUAGCCGUUCAUACGGGUCUCUAUUUAGGGGACAAGUGAUUACGCUACCUUUGCACGGUUAUGAUACCGCGGCCGUUGAAU
rnacentral:rRNA from 1 species